GACAGAGGGUGCAAACGUUUGUUCGGAAUUACUGGGCGUAAAGCGCGUGUAGGCUGCUCAGAAAGUCGGAUGUGAAAGCCCUGGGCUUAACCUAGGAAGUGCAUUCGAAACUUCUGAGCUGGAGUUCUGGAGAGGAAGGCGGAAUUCUCGGUGUAGAGGUGAAAUUCGUAGAUAUCGAGAGGAACACCUGCGGCGAAGGCGGGUUGCUGGGCUGAUACUGACGCUGAGGCGCGAAAGCCAGGGGAGCGAACGGG
rnacentral:rRNA from 1 species